AAACAAUUUUUGAUGGAAUAAAUUUCUUUCCUAUCCACAAUAAUAAUAAUAAUAUUAAUGGAUGUAUAUCCAUAUCCAGUCAAUUGUUUCCCGGAAACAUACACACCCAAUGGGGCCAAAAUAUAUUACUUCUCAAAAGUUGCAUAAUAAACAAAACAGAGAUCCCAAUGGUACAACAUGUAGGGCAAUUCCAAAGAAAGUGAGGAACAUUGAAACAAAAGAUUCUGAUAAUGAAUCAUAAGAAACAAUAGAGUCACCAUACAAGGACUAAAAAUCACAUAAUUUUAGGCAAGCAAAGACAUUCAAUCAACUCUUAGUGACUUUCCAAACAUAGCAGAACAACCAAGAACAGUGCAACAUUGAAAAAUGGCUCAUGUUGUUCUUCCAAAUAUCACAUCACUGUGUUUGAUAGCUUUUCAAGUGCUUUUGCAUUCGUCCAAUACCGCUGAAUACAAUAAUCCACAUACCACAUAUGCUACCAUAGAAGUACAUGACACUCAACUUUGCUAAUCCAAUGAAGUUAACAGAGGCAGAACCUGCUUCUAAGCACUAAAAUAAUGGACUGGGAACAGACAAGUAAGGUCAGUCUUGUUGCCAACAGCAAGAGUGUUGUUGCACAAGUUUUUGUUCAAUUCCCACUGUAAUUUUGUUAAUAUGAACAUAGUUGGUGAUCUCGUGGGCAUUAUAUACUUCCCUACCGAACUAAAUAGUCAGUUGUGAGAUGAAGAAUGAAAGAAGCAUAACUGAGAAAGAGAAGGGAGAUGUCCAGUUGACAAUGAGGAAGAAAUUCAUUAAAAAGUUAUACUUAAGUAAAACAAUUACAAUGUGAUAGAUAAAGAUUUUUUGUUUCAAAUUACUUUUAGUUACUUAAUUGCACUUAUAAUUGAAAGUUUAUUUGAUUAUGAAAGAUUGUUAUUUAAAUUUGUCUUGAA